GGGGCUGUGGUGAAAUGGUAUCACGACGGUCUCCAAAACCGUCUUUCCAGGUUCAAGUCCUGGCAGCCCUG
rnacentral:tRNA from 1 species